GGAGUUAAGCGAUAUCGUUGGUCUGACAUCAAUUUAUGUUAAUUAGGAAUAACUCGCUUUGUAUUUAUACCCAACUGAAAGGGCCGCGAGACAAGCGUUUGGGCAGCUCCCUGUUUAUGAAAGAACAUUCUAAAAUGAGGCUAAAACCAAACAGGGAUGUUGUUGUACUUUUCUGUCUUGGCGUUCUUUGUUUCAGUCAAAUAUGCUGUGUAAGCCUCGAAAUCACGCGAAGACAAGAGAGACACGGAGAGGAAAAAAACCGAUGAUGUUCGAGUGGGUACCAUUAUGUUCGGCAGAGAUAUUUCUGAUUUUGGCCCAGUGAAAAAUGAGGAUGGCUUUAACAUUCAAGCCGAUGCUGCUGAGCUGGUUGGUGGACAAGAUGUCAUUGAUGACUCCAGUUCUUCUAAGGCAGCCUGGGCUAGUAUGCGACCAACUGUGUUAUGUACUAAGGACCUCAUGAAGUUCUCGGCACAAGGCCCAGGAUCCUCUUCACUUCAGCUAGACAGCGCAGGAGGAACACCGCUCAAGCUAAACCAGCUGCCGCAGGACUGUGGCUACUCUGUGUACAGGACCGUACUGGGCUUUGUGUUUCUCAUCACCUAUGAUAGUUGUGAUGUUAUAAAUCAGGGUGGCAACCAUUUGCUCCAGAUGUUAUGGCAAGGCAAUCCAGUAACCCUUUCUUGCCCUAUGUCAACCCAAGCCUCUCAAUCUCCUAUGGAUCGACCACUUAUCCAUCCGUCAGCUCCAUCUACUGGGAUACAACCCAGGAUGCAAAACCCAGGAUACAAAAACCCUUUCAUGCCAGUAAAGGCUCCCAUUCAAACUACUGCAGCUCCCACUACCGAAGCUCCAACUACUACAGAAGCAACUUCAUCCACUGCCUCUAAGCUUCCCCCACAAGAUGAUCAGCAGCAGCAACAGUUGAUACAACAGUUGAUGCAGCAGCAGCAGCAACAGUUGAUGCAGCAGCAGCAGCAACAGUUGAAGCAGCAGCAGCAAGAAUUGAUGCACUCUUACCUCAUGUACCCAGGAUACAGAAACCCUUUCAUGCCAGUAAAGGCUCCCCCUCAAACUACUGCAGCUCCCACUACUGAAGCUCCAACUACCACAGAAGCAACUUCAUCCACUGCCUCUAAGCUUCCCCCACAAGAUCAGCACCAACAGUUGAUGCACUCUGACUUUGUGUACCCAGGACACUCUAACCCUUUCAUACCAGUGAAGGCUCCCUACCAAACUACUGAAGCUCCAACUACUACAGAAGCAACUUCAUCCACUGCCUCUAAGCUUCCCCCACAAAAUCAACAGCAGCAGCAACAGUUGAUGCAGCAGCAGCAGCAACAGUUGAAGCAGCAGCAGCAGCAGCAAGAAUUGAUGCACUCUUACUUCAUGUACCCUGGAUACAGAAACCCUUUCAUGCCAGUAAAGGCUCCCCCUCAAACUACUGCAGCUCCCACUACUGAAGCUCCAACUACCACAGAAGCAACUUCAUCCACUGCCUCCAAGCUUCCCCCACAAGAUCAGCACCAACAGUUGAUGCACUCUGACUUCGUGUACCCAGGAUACUCUAACCCUUUCAUGCCAGUAAAGGCUCCCCCUCAAACUACUGCAGCUCCCACUACCACAGAAGCAACUUCAUCCACUGCCUCCAAGCUUCCCCCACAAGAUCAGCACCAACAGUUGAUGCACUCUGACUUCGUGUACCCAGGAUACUUUAACCCUUUCAUGCCAGUAAAGACUCCCUACCAAACUGCAGAAGCAACUUCAUCCACUGCCUCUAAGCUUCCCCCACAAGAUCAACAGCAGCAGCAACAGUUGAUGCAGCAGCAGCAGCAACAGUUGAAGCAGCAGCAGCAAGAAUUGAUGCACUCUUAACUCAUGUACCCAGGAUACAGAAACCCUUUCAUGCCAGUAAAGGCUCCCCCUCAAACUGCUGCAGCUCCCACUACUGAAGUGCCAACUACCACAGAAGCAACUACAUCCACUUCCUCUAAGCUUCCCCCACAAGAUCAGCAGCAACAGUUGAUGCACUCUGACUUCGUGUACCCAGGAUACUCUAACCCUUUCAUGCCAGUGAAGGCUCCCUACCAAACUACUGAAGCUCCAACUACAGCAGCAACUUCAUCCACUGCCUCUAAGCUUCCCCCACAAAAUCAACAGCAGCAGCAACAGUUGAUGCAGCAGCAGCAAGAAUUGAUGCACUCUUACCUCAUGUACCCAGGAUACAGAAACCCUUUCAUGCCAGUAAAUGCCGCCAGUAAAUUUCCCACCACCCAUGCCAGCUAAGGCUCCAGCAUCCGCUGCUGCUCCAACGACCACUCCAUCAGAACUCCCAACCGUCUGCCCUCACAGAAAAUUAGAGUCUGCAGGAGAUUUCUAACUACAAUGAACCCCUCAAACCUUUUUUUGUCAAGUUCCUUUAUCCCUCUGAUCUCGACCAACCGAAGGCCAAGACUUUGUUUGUAUAAAUGUCUCCAGACCAAGAGCAAUUAAGAGGAGACUUCAGUUUUCUGAAUUUGUGUUUUUCUUUUAUACCAGGAACCAUGUGGUCACCAGGAUGUGGAAGCAACCCUCAAUAUGCAACUUUGUGGCAAUAAAUACAAUUGUUUUAAGCAGCUGGUCAUUGCCUUGUCAGUUUAUUUGAAGAGAAGAUUAGUACCAGAUUCAUCCAAAACUGGCUUGAAAUGGUUCUGGUGCCUUUACUUGAGUGUUCAACAAAACAAAUUCUCAAUUUUCACCUUUGUUAGCCAAACAAGCUUACUGUUGGUUUCAAAUAAACUUGACUAAUUUAUCAACUCGAGGCUAUUGUGAAGCCAGAAAAUUAC
ensembl:lncRNA